UAUCCCAUAGAAUGGAAAGAGAGGGUCUUUAAACCUUACUUGCUCUUAUGACCGGAUGGUCUGGUGAUGAACCCCAAUAAGAGUACUAAGCUACUAAGAAAGAUUCUAUAUAUAUAUCAUGCAUUCAACUAAAAUAUAUCUCUAAGACAUGCUAGGUUUUGGAUGUUCAAUUGGGUUCAACCCUUGACCCAACUUGAACCAAACUAAAAACCCAAGCUUGAUCACAAUCAAGAUAAUAUUUUAACCUUUGAUUGUAUAAAUCAAGGUAGGCUCUGAUACCACUGUUGGAUUUCGAUGGC
rnacentral:lncRNA from 1 species